GAUGAACGCUGGCGGCGUGCCUAAUACAUGCAAGUCGAGCGAACGGACGAGAAGCUUGCUUCUCUGAUGUUAGCGGCGGACGGGUGAGUAACACGUGGAUAACCUACCUAUAAGACUGGGAUAACUUCGGGAAACCGGAGCUAAUACCGGAUAAUAUUUUGAACCGCAUGGUUCAAAAGUGAAAGACGGUCUUGCUGUCACUUAUAGAUGGAUCCGCGCUGCAUUAGCUAGUUGGUAAGGUAACGGCUUACCAAGGCAACGAUGCAUAGCCGACCUGAGAGGGGGAUCGGCCACACUGGAACUGAGACACGGUCCAGACUCCUACGGGAGGCAGCAGUAGGGAAUCUUCCGCAAUGGGCGAAAGCCUGACGGAGCAACGCCGCGUGAGUGAUGAAGGUCGUCGGAUCGUAAAACUCUGUUAUUAGGGAAGAACAUAUGUGUAAGUAACUGUGCACAUCUUGACGGUACCUAAUCAGAAAGCCACGGCUAACUACGU
rnacentral:rRNA from 1 species